rnacentral:lncRNA from 1 species
CUUCUGAGGUGAACAUGGACCCACUGUCACCGGGCAAGGUCUAGGAUGAACAUGGAUACCCACCAUUAUCGGGGAGAUUCCAGAGUGGACAUGGACCCACCAUCAUCAGUGUCCCUUGGGAAGGAGAGACCCCAGCAGCAUUCAUUACCACCCGAUGCUUGCUAAUGGUGUGACCUUGAAUGAGUCAGCCUGUCACCUGUCUGUGCCUCCGUUUGUCUGUCUGAGAGUGUUAAUGGCUGCUUAUAAGGUGCACACGGUACGAAUGAUGCUGAAUGAAUGGCAGUUGGACAUGUUUUCUUUGUUGAACCCUCUUUGAGGCCUCUCGGAAGCCAGAGAGAAUAGAGGACGGUCCAGAAACCUUGU